AACGUAGGACGCAAGCGUUAUCCGGAGUUACUGGGCGUAAAGGGCGGGCAGGCGGUCUGUCAAGUGGGGUGUGAAAUCUCCCAGCUUAACUGGGAGAGGCCAUUCCAAACUGACAGACUGGAGUGCAGAAGGGGCAACUGGAAUUCUCGGUGUAGCGGUGAAAUGCGUAGAUAUCGAGAGGAACACCUGCGGCGAAGGCGGGUUGCUGGGCUGACACUGACGCUGAGGCGCGAAAGCUAGGGGAGCGAACGGG
rnacentral:rRNA from 1 species